CACAAUUGAAUAGGCUCCUCAAGGGCGGUCGGCUCAUCCCCUCGUGAAAGGGGGUGAGAGGGAUGUCAACUCAUGAUGUGGUUUCGCUCAUGUUGCAGUUUGGCCUGUUUUUGCUUGCAGGGCUUACGCUGAUCGUGACGAUCAUCAAGUAUUGGUUUGACAUGCACAAUAAACAGAAAUAGAUCGCCCCAUGAGUUUGGCCUCAGGCGAUCUAUUUCGCUACCAAUUUGAGCCGACCCCCUUGAAGGGAAUCAGUUGUGCAAAACGACCGUGGGUGCUACCAACACCUGCG
rnacentral:sRNA from 1 species